AUUGAACGCUGGCGGCAGGCCUAACACAUGCAAGUCGAGCGCGAAAGUUCUUCGGAAUGAGUAGAGCGGCGGACGGGUGAGUAAUGCAUAGGAAUCUGCCCAGUAGUGAGGGAUAGCCCGGGGAAACCCGGAUUAAUACCGCAUACGUCCUACGGGAGAAAGCAGGGGAUCUUCGGACCUUGCGCUAUUGGAUGAGCCUAUGUCGGAUUAGCUUGUUGGUGGGGUAACGGCCCACCAAGGCGACGAUCCGUAGCUGGUCUGAGAGGAUGAUCAGCCACACUGGAACUGAGACACGGUCCAGACUCCUACGGGAGGCAGCAGUGGGGAAUAUUGCACAAUGGGGGAAACCCUGAUGCAGCCACGCCGCGUGUGUGAAGAAGGCCUUCGGGUUGUAAAGCACUUUCAGUAGGGAGGAAGGCCCUAAAGUUAAUACCUUUGGGGAUUGACGUUACCUACAGAAGAAGCACCGGCUAACUCCGUG
rnacentral:rRNA from 1 species